AUGUAUCCCAUAUUUUCCCAGGAUUCUUCUUUGCAUCCCAUACACUUGGACGGAGUGGGAGGCCGCCGCAGCAAUGCUGGACUCGGAGCCGAAGCCAUCCCACGCCGCCAACAGCUUGCACCUCUUCGCGGAAAUCACCACAAGUGUGAUGUCUGUAUAGAAAAUCAGUAUUUUCUUGGUUCAUAUCCUAUCUGA
rnacentral:rRNA from 1 species